rnacentral:lncRNA from 1 species
CCUUCUAGAGAGAUCCAACACCCUAGAUUCCGCCGGAAGGCAGGAAUCCCGAUGCCGGAUUCUAGCCGGGUAUUACAUUCUACCCCCCUUACAAAAACAUUCGUCCCCGAAUGUUAAAACAACAAACACAAGCAUGCAAGCAAGCAAGCGAAUCCUAAAGCUUCUCUCCAAAGAGAGACACCAAACGCUGGAGUAAGAACUCCCAGGUUCCUAAACUCCACGAGCUUCUGCUGCGCUACUCUGAUCCUUCUCUAUCUUCCUCCUUCUCUGCUCUUACUCUUCUCUUCUCAUCUUUACUAACUGGCUUCUUCUCACUACUAACCCAAAACUAACUCUAACUCUCACAGGUAGCACCCGAAUUUCA